rnacentral:lncRNA from 1 species
GACUGAUUUUGGAGGCUCAUCUUGAUGUGGUCCUGGACUCUUCUCCACCUUGCCCAAGGCUGCAAGAAUGGGCUUGGUCAGUCCAUGCUUUAGGUAGCAGAGAUGGUUCUUUUUUUGGUUCAGUUUGGCUGUAAAGAAGCUCAUGGCCACCUCUGCCUUUUUUCUGUAAUUAGAAUCCUUAAGAUUCCAACUUGAAGGACCCUUCAUGACCAGCCAGGAACUUCUGAAUUUUACAAGAGAAAAUUGCAUCCCAUUGCUUGAUUCACAAGCAUUUACUGAGUAUGCACCAUGUGAAAAUUUAUUUGGAUAAACUAAACAAUUCAUGAAUACAAGAUCUGUACCUCACUGCCAUAGUCUCCAAGGCCAGCUGGUUCAAAAUGACAUCUCUUUUCUCCCCGGACCUUAUAUGACAGCCUCCAGAAGACCUGUAAUGAUCGCCAUGGAGCUGGAUUGACGGUUGCCCUCUUGCGUCG